CCUACGGGAGGCAGCAGUGGGGAAUUUUGGACAAUGGGGGCAACCCUGAUCCAGCCAUGCCGCGUGUCUGAAGAAGGCCUUCGGGUUGUAAAGGACUUUUGUCCGGGAAGAAAAGCGCGAUGUUAAUACCAUUGCGUGCUGACGGUACCGGAAGAAUAAGCACCGGCUAACUACGUGCCAGCAGCCGCGGUAAUACGUAGGGUGCGAGCGUUAAUCGGAAUUACUGGGCGUAAAGCGGGCGCAGACGGUUACUUAAGCAGGAUGUGAAAUCCCCGGGCUCAACCUGGGAAUUGCGUUCUGAACUGGGUGGCUAGAGUGUGUCAGAGGGGGGUAGAAUUCCACGUGUAGCAGUGAAAUGCGUAGAGAUGUGGAGGAAUACCGAUGGCGAAGGCAGCCCCCUGGGAUAGCACUGACGUUCAUGCCCGAAAGCGUGGGUAGCAAACAGGAUUAGAUACCCUGGUAGUC
rnacentral:rRNA from 1 species